rnacentral:rRNA from 1 species
AGUCGAACGGUAACAGGUAAGUACUUGUACUUAUGCUGACGAGUGGCGGACGGGUGAGUAAUGCUUGGGGAUCUGGCUUAUGGAGGGGGAUAACGACGGGAAACUGUCGCUAAUACCGCGUAGAAUCGGGAGAUGAAAGUGUGGGACCUUCGGGCCACAUGCCAUAGGAUGAACCCAAGUGGGAUUAGGUAGUUGGUGGGGUAAUGGCCUACCAAGCCGACGAUCUCUAGCUGGUCUGAGAGGAUGACCAGCCACACCGGGACUGAGACACGGCCCGGACUCCUACGGGAGGCAGCAGUGGGGAAUAUUGCGCAAUGGGGGCAACCCUGACGCAGCCAUGCCGCGUGAAUGAAGAAGGCCUUCGGGUUGUAAAGUUCUUUCGGUGACGAGGAAGGUUGUUGUGUUAAUAGCGCAACAAAUUGACGUUAAUCACAGAAGAAGCACCGGCUAACUCCGUGCCAGCAGCCGCGGUAAUACGGAGGGUGCGAGCGUUAAUCGGAAUAACUGGGCGUAAAGGGCACGCAGGCGGACUUUUAAGUGAGGUGUGAAAUCCCCGGGCUUAACCUGGGAAUUGCAUUUCAGACUGGGGGUCUAGAGUACUUUAGGGAGGGGUAGAAUUCCACGUGUAGCGGUGAAAUGCGUAGAGAUGUGGAGGAAUACCGAAGGCGAAGGCAGCCCCUUGGGAAUGUACUGACGCUCAUGUGCGAAAGCGUGGGGAGCAAACAGGAUUAGAUACCCUGGUAGUCCACGCUGUAAACGCUGUCGAUUUGGGGAUUGUGCUUUGAGCUUGGUGCCCGUAGCUAACGUGAUAAAUCGACCGCCUGGGGAGUAC